UUUCCGUAGGUGAACCUGCGGAAGGAUCAUUACAGAGUUCAUGCCCUCACGGGUAGAUCCCCCACCCUUGAAUAUUUAUACCUUAGUUGCUUUGGCAGGCCGUGGAAACACCAUGGGCUCCGGCUUAUGCGUGCCUGCCAGAGGAAACAAACUCUGCUUUUAGUGAUGUCUGAGUACUAUAUAAUAGUUAAAACUUUCAACAACGGAUCUCUUGGUUCUG
rnacentral:misc_RNA from 1 species